GACGAACGCUGGCGGCGUGCUUAACACAUGCAAGUCGAACGGAAAGGCCCUGCUUUUGUGGGGUGCUCGAGUGGCGAACGGGUGAGUAACACGUGAGUAACCUGCCCUUGACUUUGGGAUAACUUCAGGAAACUGGGGCUAAUACCGGAUAGGAGCUCCUGCUGCAUGGUGGGGGUUGGAAAGUUUCGGCGGUUGGGGAUGGACUCGCGGCAUAUCAGCUUGUUGGUGGGGUAGUGGCUUACCAAGGCUUUGACGGGUAGCCGGCCUGGGAGGGUGACCGGCCACAUUGGGACUGAGAUACGGACCAGACUCCAACGGGAGGCAGCAGUGGGGAAUAUUGCACAAUGGGCGGAAGCCUGAUGCAGCAACGCCGCGUGCGGGAUGACGGCCUUCGGGUUGUAAACCGCUUUCGCCUGUGACGAAGCGUGAGUGACGGUAAUGGGUAAAGAAGCACCGGCUAACUACGUG
rnacentral:rRNA from 1 species